GAUGAACGCUGGCGGCGUGCCUAAUACAUGCAAGUCGAGCGAACAGACGAGGAGCUUGUUCCUCUGACGUUAGCGGCGGACGGGUGAGUAACACGUGGAUAACCUACCUAUAAGACUGGGAUAACUUCGGGAAACCGGAGCUAAUACCGGAUAAUAUAUUGAACCGCAUGGUUCAAUAGUGAAAGACGGUUUUGCUGUCACUUAUAGAUGGAUCCGCGCCGCAUUAGCUAGUUGGUAAGGCAACGGCUUACCAAGGCGACGAUGCGUAGCCGACCUGAGAGGGUGAUCGGCCACACUGGAACUGAGACACGGUCCAGACUCCUACGGGAGGCAGCAGUAGGGAAUCUUCCGCAAUGGGCGAAAGCCUGACGGAGCAACGCCGCGUGAGUGAUGAAGGUCUUCGGAUCGUAAAACUCUGUUAUUAGGGAAGAACAAAUGUGUAAGUAACUAUGCACGUCUUGACGGUACCUAAUCAGAAAGCCACGGCUAACUACGUG
rnacentral:rRNA from 1 species